rnacentral:lncRNA from 1 species
UUAGUAGAGACGGGUUUUCACCAUGUUGGCCAGCCCGGUCUUGAACUCCGUCAGCCUCCCAAAGUGCUAGGAUUAACAGGCGUGAGCCGGCACGCCCGGCCUCCCCGCUGAAUCCUUUCUUCAUUUUAUCAUAAUCCUUCUAAAGACACUUUCGGGAACUUUAAAAGAUGCCUACCACCAUUUGUCUCUCAUGAAGAUGUGAACUGCGACUGGAAACAGCUCAGUCUCUCACAGAUUGUAAAACUCAGAAGUAUAAUAUCCUUGGCACUAAGGGAAAGCACAAUGACACAGAAGGAAAUAUAGAAGUCCCCAAAUUAGGAAUCUUGGAUUUUAGACCCAGUGUUCCCUUAACUGCUUAAAGUGUGACCUCAGGCAGAAAAACAGCUCUCCAAAGAUGUCUACAUGAAAAUCCUGACUCUGCGAAUGUAUUACUUUACACAGCAAAAGGAAUUUGGCAGCUGUGAUUUAAUCGAAGAUCAUGAGAUGGAAAGAUUAUUAUCUGUGUGCAUCUAACAUAAUCACAAAGGUCCUUUUAAUGUGAAAGAGGAAGACAGGAGAGUCAGAGGGUCAGAGAAGAUGUGAAUACAGAAGCAGAGGUCACAACGACGUGAGAAAGGCACAUCUGGCUUUGAAGAUAGAGGGGCGAUGUGCCGAGGAAUGCAGGAAGCCUAAAAAGCUGAAAUAAGCAAGAAGUGGAUUCUUUCCUGCUGCUGCCAGAAGGGACAUACCCCUGCAGACACCUUGAUUUUUGCCCCAUAAUACUCUUUUUAGAUUUCUGACUCAUAGAAAUAUAAGAUAAUAAAUUUGCUUUGUUGUAAGCCACUAAGUUAGUGGUAAACGGUAAGUUUGUAAAGCAAUAAGAAAUGAACAGACAUUUAAGAAUAUUAUUUUAAGUCUAUGCUUAGACUUUUCCCAAGAAUAUUUAUGCAAUGGGAUUAUAUUCUAGUUUUAUAACUGAGUUAAUUUAUAUAGCAAUAUAUCAUAAAUGUCUCUUCAAAUUAAUACAUGCACAUCUAUGGUAAUAACUAUGAAUUACUAUGUAGUAUAUUUUAUGUAUAUAUUAUAGUUAUUAAUCAAUCUGAAAUUGUGAGGCCUUUAGUUUUCUUCUUAUAUUUUUGCUAAUAUAUAGAGUGUUUGGGAAAAUAUUUUUAUAUAUGAAACUGUGUCAAUCUAUGGUUUUUUUACUUGUAUUUUC